AAGGAACUUCAACAGAUGGCAGCAUCUGACUGACCUGCCUAGGUCUGGAGGCUGAUUAAUCCUUGGACAGGAGACCAAAUUCUCUUUGAUUUCUGAUUACAGAAAUCCACUGAUUACAGUGGAUUAAAGUGGCUCUCCUCCCACAAUGUCCUGAAUAUUAACUCUGGAAGCUGGUUGUCAAAUAUCAGGAUUACAUUUAAUCCAAAAAGGUAAGCAAGCUUAUGCAAAGUCUAGAAGAGAAAACAAAAAAUAGAAAACUUUAGAAAUUCAAGACAUGAAACAUGGUAAAAA